rnacentral:rRNA from 1 species
AGCUCCAAUAGCGUAUACUAAAGUUGUUGCAGUUAAAAAGCUCGUAGUUGGAUUUCUGCGUCGGGUGGGGCCGCCUGGUUUCCCUCAAGGGGCCGUGGUCGUGUCCCCCGCCUGCGCAUCCUGCCGCGAUCGGCGCUGCUCUUAGUUGAGCGGCGUUUCCCGGGACCGGCUCGUUUACUUUGAGAAAAAUAGAGUGUUCAAAGCAGGCCACCUCGCCUUGAAUAAGUUAGCAUGGAAUAAUGAUAAAGGACUUCGGUUCUAUUUUCGUUGGUUGCCGCGGACUGAAGUAAUGAUUGAUAGGGACAGUUGGGGGGCGUCAGUAUUCUGGAGCGAGAGGUGAAAUUCUUAGACCUCCGGAAGACUAACCGCUGCGAAAGCGUUCGCCAAGGAUGUUCCC